rnacentral:pre_miRNA from 1 species
AGUGGGAUUGCUGGGUCAAAUGGUGGUUCCAUUCCAAGUUUUCUGAGAAAUCUCCAUAAUGCUUUCCAUUGUGGUUGCAUCAAUUUGUAGUCCUACCAGCAAU